CAGGCCUAACACAUGCAAGUCGAACGGUAACAGGAAUCAGCUUGCUGAUUCGCUGACGAGUGGCGGACGGGUGAGUAAUGUCUGGGAAACUGCCUGAUGGAGGGGGAUAACUACUGGAAACGGUAGCUAAUACCGCAUAACGUCGCAAGACCAAAGAGGGGGACCUUCGGGCCUCUUGCCAUCGGAUGUGCCCAGAUGGGAUUAGCUAGUAGGUGGGGUAAAGGCUCACCUAGGCGACGAUCCCUAGCUGGUCUGAGAGGAUGACCAGCCACACUGGAACUGAGACACGGUCCAGACUCCUACGGGAGGCAGCAGUGGGGAAUAUUGCACAAUGGGCGCAAGCCUGAUGCAGCCAUGCCGCGUGUAUGAAGAAGGCCUUCGGGUUGUAAAGUACUUUCAGCGGGGAGGAAGGGAGUAAAGUUAAUACCUUUGCUCAUUGACGUUACCCGCAGAAGAAGCACCGGCUAACUCCGUGCCAGCAGCCGCGGUAAUACGGAGGGUGCAAGCGUUAAUCGGAAUUACUGGGCGUAAAGCGCACGCAGGCGGUUUGUUAAGUCAGAUGUGAAAUCCCCGGGCUCAACCUGGGAACUGCAUCUGAUACUGGCAAGCUUGAGUCUCGUAGAGGGGGGUAGAAUUCCAGGUGUAGCGGUGAAAUGCGUAGAGAUCUGGAGGAAUACCGGUGGCGAAGGCGGCCCCCUGGACGAAGACUGACGCUCAGGUGCGAAAGCGUGGGGAGCAAACAGGAUUAGAUACCCUGGUAGUCCACGCCGUAAACGAUGUCGACUUGGAGGUUGUGCCCUUGAGGCGUGGCUUCCGGAGCUAACGCGUUAAGUCGACCGCCUGGGGAGUACGGCCGCAAGGUUAGAACUCAAAUGAAUUGACGGGGGCCCGCACAAGCGGUGGAGCAUGUGGUUUAAUUCGAUGCAACGCGAAGAACCUUACCUGGUCUUGACAUCCACAGAACUUUCCAGAGAUGGAUUGGUGCCUUCGGGAACUGUGAGACAGGUGCUGCAUGGCUGUCGUCAGCUCGUGUUGUGAAAUGUUGGGUUAAGUCCCGCAACGAGCGCAACCCUUAUCCUUUGUUGCCAGCGGUCCGGCCGGGAACUCAAAGGAGACUGCCAGUGAUAAACUGGAGGAAGGUGGGGAUAACGUCAAGUCAUCAUGGCCCUUACGACCAGGGCUACACACGUGCUACAAUGGCGCAUACAAAGAGAAGCGACCUCGCGAGAGCAAGCGGACCUCAUAAAGUGCGUCGUAGUCCGGAUUGGAGUCUGCAACUCGACUCCAUGAAGUCGGAAUCGCUAGUAAUCGUGGAUCAGAAUGCCACGGUGAAUACGUUCCCGGGCCUUGUACACACCGCCCGUCACACCAUGGGAGUGGGUUGCAAAAGAAGUAGGUAGCUUAACCUUCGGGAGGGCGCUUACCACUUUGUGAUUCAUGACUGGGGUGAA
rnacentral:rRNA from 1 species